AGACGUGUACUCUUCCGAUACGCCCGCAGCUGCGUUCGUGUGUACGCGAAUGAAUCUUCAUGUUAUAUUUUACAUUAUAUACAUCAUACAACUAAUACAUAAAGCUUAUAAAUAAACACCUUGUAAAUGUGUCACUGCUGGU